GGCCGGUGAUAAUUGUAUAUUUCUUCUCCAACGAAACCCUAGCUCGGUGACAAAUUCUCUCUCUCAUAGGCACGCAGAAGAUGUCGCACUUCGGAAGAUCUGGCCCUCCAGAUAUCAAAGACACAUUCUCUCUUCUUGUUCUCAACAUUACCUUCCGGACAUCGGCGGACGAUUUGUUUCCUCUUUUCGAAAAGUAUGGAAAAGUUGUCGACGUUUUCAUUCCCAGAGAUCGAAGGACUGGAGAUUCACGUGGGUUUGCAUUUGUUCGAUAUAAGUAUGCGGACGAGGCCCAGAAAGCAGUUGACAAGCUUGAUGGAAGAACUGUUGAUGGAAGGGAAAUAAUGGUUCAGUUUGCUAAGUAUGGUCCAAAUGCUGAAAGAGUUCACAAAGGAAGGAUAAUGGAACCGGUAUCAAGAUCGCGAGACAGGUCAAGAGACAGGUCAAGAAGCCGAAGCCCUCGUCCAAGGUAUAGUAGAGAUUCACACAGGGAUAGAGAUUAUCGCAGAAGAAGUCGUAGCAGAAGCAGAAGUAGAGGUAGGUCUGAUCGUGACAGGAACUAUGAAAGGGAACGAGAAUAUCGUCGUCGAAGCAGGAGUCGCAGUGGAAGCCCUAUUAAUCACAAGAGAAGGAGCCGUAGCCGAAGCUUGAGCAGGUCUCGUGGAAGCGUAUCUCCGAUUCGUCGUAGCGCUAGUCCUCGUAGGAGGAGCCUGUCUCCAGUUAGGUCUCGAUCACCUUUAUCUAAGAGUGGAAGUCCAAUUGUUCGUAAUGGUAAUGAACGUUCUCCUACUCCUGGAAGUGUCUCACCAAAUGGUAAAAAGGUGGUUUCGAGAAGCCCAUCUCCUCGUUCUGAUGCUGAUGAGUGAAAGCAUUCAAAAUGUACACCGGAUGCAUGCAUACUCCGUUCUUGGACACAUGGGAAGAGAAAUAUUUAGUGAUAUUUUAUAAAUGUGCUUUAGUAAUAUGCUUGAAAUAGACGUCGAUCGGAAUUCAGAAUAGUUCUUUUGUGUUGGAUGCUUUUCUAUGUAUGUGUUCGUUCGACUGGCUGAUGAUGAUGUAGCAGUCGUUGAUGCUUGCUGUUUGUACUUUAAUGCUGUUGAAAAAAGGCGGUUCGGUUUAAAAAAUUCGUGUUGAUAACAUGAAUGGUAAGAUCUAAUAGUGUUUUUACUGGAAGUGAAAAUGAUUUCUUUAACCUUGAUUAGCAUAUUUCUUUUUUGUGGUGAAAUUUGAGUAUUAGUAGCUGAUGAAAUACAGAAAACUUGGGUGAAGUUCCAAAUUGUUAGAUUGUGUAGCUGUUGCAGACACCUGUUAUGACUUGCAGUGCAGAUUUCGAGCAUGAAACUGUAAUGCUGAGCUUUUGAAUGAACAUGCUAACAUAGUGACUAGGUUAUGGUGAGAUUUGCUAAUGUUUUUCCUAGGUUAAGCGCAUUUUUCAUGCUGCAGAGGUAAUUAGUUUUUAAGCUGAUGCAUAUUGUCAAUUGUCACAGCAGCACACGAGAUCGUGGCUGUAGAGGUGAAUAAUUGAUUAACAAGAGUUAUUGCUGUUCUCUUGCUGAUUGAAUAGCUGUUUUUCGCGAGAAUUUCGGUUGUGGUCCAGUCAUGCUGCGAUUGGUAUAAAAUCUUGAUCAAUAUUCUGCAUUAUUUUGCUAAUUAUACUUAUGUAACUCUAACUUGUUUAGGAGAAGAGAUGUUAUCUAUAUUAAUCUUGGUUAAUUUUGAUAGGA